UGGGGAAUAUUGGACAAUGGGCGCAAGCCUGAUCCAGCAAUGCCGCGUGAGUGAUGAAGGCCUUAGGGUUGUAAAGCUCUUUCGCACGCGACGAUGAUGACGGUAGCGUGAGAAGAAGCCCCGGCUAACUUCGUGCCAGCAGCCGCGGUAAUACGAAGGGGGCUAGCGUUGUUCGGAAUUACUGGGCGUAAAGGGGCGCGUAGGCGGCCUGUUUAGUCAGAAGUGAAAGCCCCGGGCUCAACCUGGGAAUAGCUUUUGAUACUGGCAGGCUUGAGUUCCGGAGAGGAUGGUGGAAUUCCCAGUGUAGAGGUGAAAUUCGUAGAUAUUGGGAAGAACACCGGUGGCGAAGGCGGCCAUCUGGACGGACACUGACGCUGAGGCGCGAAAGCGUGGGGAGCAAACAGGAUUAGAUACCCUGGUAGUCCACGCCGUAAGCGAUGAAUGCUAGACGUCGGGGUGCAUGCACUUCGGUGUCGCCGCUAACGCAUUAAGCAUUCCGCCUGGGGAGUACGGCCGCAAGGUUAAAACUCAAAUGAAUUGACGGGGUCAUAGCUGUUUCCU
rnacentral:rRNA from 1 species